rnacentral:hammerhead_ribozyme from 1 species
CUGCUGCUGAAGAGUCCAAAACUGGGACGAAAUGACUGUCCAGUAC